rnacentral:rRNA from 1 species
CUUGGUCAUUUAGAGGAAGUAAAAGUCGUAACAAGGUUUCCGUAGGUGAACCUGCGGAAGGAUCAUUCAUAAUAAGUGUUUUAUGGCACUUUUUAAAUCCAUAUCCACCUUGUGUGCAAUGUCGGUCGAUCUUCUUCAUGGAGAUCGACCAAACAUCAACCUUUAUCUUUUAACUCUUUGUCUGAAAAAUAUUAUGAAUAAACAAUUCAAAAUACAACUUUCAGCAACGGAUCUCUUGGCUCUCGCAUCGAUGAAGAACGCAGCGAAAUGCGAUACGUAAUGUGAAUUGCAGAAUUCAGUGAAUCAUCGAAUCUUUGAACGCAUAUUGCGCUCUUUGGUAUUCCGAAGAGCAUGCUUGUUUGAGUAUCAGUAAACACCUCAAAGCUUUUGGAUUUUUUAAUCGAAAAGCUUUGGACUUGAGCAAUCCCAACACCAAUCUUUUUGAGAUCGGUGGCGGGUUGCUUGAAAUGCAGGUGCAGCUGGACAUUCUCCUGAGCUAAAAGCAUAUUCAUUUAGUCCCGUCAAACGGAUUAUUACUUUUGCUGCAGCUAACAUAAAGGGAGUUUGACCGUAUUGGCUGACUGAUGCAGGAUUUCACAAGGGACUGGCAACAGCCUCUUGUAAAACUCGAUCUCAAAUCAAGUAAGACUACCCGCUGAACUUAAGCAUAUCAAUAAGCGGAGGA